GGUGGGAUGCCUGAGCGGAUUAAAGGGACAGUCUUGAAAACUGUUGUCCCUUUACGGGGACCGUGAGUUCGAAUCUCACUCCCACCG
rnacentral:tRNA from 1 species